rnacentral:rRNA from 1 species
GGCUAAUACCGCAUACGCUUUGAGAAGGAAAGCAGGGGAUCUUCGGACCUUGCGUUAUUCGAGCGGCCAAUAACUGAUUAGCUAGUUGGUGGGGUAAGGGCCCACCAAGGCUACGAUCAGUAGUGGGUCUGAGAGGAUGAUCCGCCACACUGGGACUGAGACACGGCCCAGACUCCUACGGGAGGCAGCAGUGGGGAAUUUUGGACAAUGGGCGAAAGCCUGAUCCAGCCAUGCCGCGUGUCUGAAGAAGGCCUUCGGGUUGUAAAGGACUUUUGUUAGGGAAGAAAAGGUUGAUGCUAAUAUCAUUAACUGAUGACGGUACCUAAAGAAUAAGCACCGGCUAACUACGUGCCAGCAGCCGCGGUAAUACGUAGGGUGCGAGCGUUAAUCGGAAUUACUGGGCGUAAAGCGAGCGCAGACGGUUAGUUAAGCAAGAUGUGAAAUCCCCGAGCUCAACUUGGGAACUGCGUUUUGAACUGGCUAGCUAGAGUGUGUCAGAGGGGGGUAGAAUUCCACGUGUAGCAGUGAAAUGCGUAGAGAUGUGGAGGAAUACCGAUGGCGAAGGCAGCCCCCUGGGGUAACACUGACGUUCAUGCUCGAAAGCGUGGGUAGCAAACAGGAUUAGAU